GGGAAUAGAUGCUGCUGAGAUUCCUAGAGGAAGUCCAGACAAUGCCAGUCUCACCCUAGAGUAAACUUCCUGUUCCUUCCAAGGGAAAUACAGAUAGAUGUAUCUAGAGGUCCUCCACCUGUCCUAUGUGUCCUAAUUUGUAGUCUGAUACCUAUGAGGGCAGUAGCUUCAAAGUCUUGAGAGGCAAGGAGACUGUAGGAGGAAACUGCUUAGCAUCAAGUUUAUCCUUAUACUGAAGCUCAGGGGUAGCCAGGCGCUCACAUUCCUCUUGGUCUUUCUGGUUUAGUCCAUUCUGAAGUACAUAGCCCAAUACCUUAGCUGAACCAAACUGUAAAGGACGGAGCCUCACAUCAGCGAUGUAUUUGGGGUCUAAAGCCUCACCUCCCAUCAGGCAGCGUUUAGCCAGAGCUUCUCUUCGAGCCCGGAGCUCAGCCACAGCACGUUGCAGUCGGCUCCAGCCAUACUGUUCUAUCCGUGCCCACAGACUACGGUUGAAGUGAGUGUAAAGGGCCCAGUCUAGGUUAUUCCAAGCUCGGGCCUGUUUGGUUAGCUCCUGAUCUCCAUCAGUCACCACAGGCUUAUUGGCAGUCCUGAUAACACUCUGCUCUCUUCCAGCCUGGGCGUUGUGCAUGAAGCCCACCACAUCAUCCAGACUCCAGCACAGGGCAUCUGCCAACAGAACCAAUGACUCAUCAAAGUACUCAGCCACCAUGACCAGGUCAAAGACAGAGUCCAACCAGGCCAGACCCCACUGGAUAAAGGAUGAGGGCCCAAAAUCUGAGGAGGCAAGGCUGGCUGGCUGCUUGUAACUAUCAGCAGCUGAGGCGCUAUGAUUGGCUGGAGAGAUGGCUCUGGAUAAUGUGCUGUGAAGAGUGAGGACCGGAGUUUGGCUCCCCAUGACCCACUAAACAAAGCUGGACACAGCAUGCUUCUGUAAUCAGCAAUGGUGAGAUGGGAGGGGGAGACAAUUGAAUCCUCGGAAGCCCACAGACCAGCUAGCCCGGAGUACAUGGCCACCGCCUACAAAGAAGGCCCCCAUCUCAAAUGAGGUGGAAGGUGAAAACCAGCAGCAAGCUUGUCCUUGGACCUCUACACACGCACCACGGCACACACAUGCUUGUAUCACAGGAACACGCAAACGUCCUGCACACGUAAGAUUUUUUUUUUAAAGUACCUAUCCUUUACUGAUCUUUUUUUCAUUUUCUUCACUAAUAUGGGCAUGCCCAUAGGGCAGAGCCUUUGAACUUCACAGUUCUUCAAUUUGUUACUUGUAUGACUUUGGCGUUUCACUGAUGUUAUUAGAACCUUCAUUUCUUAUACUGUAGGUCUGGAUCAGUAUAUCUGGAAGAAUGUGAAAGUGCCUGGAACAUAAUAGGUAGUUAGUGGUGGUGACAAGAAGGUCAUCUCUCAGCUGUUAGAGGAACUUAGUUCAGUGAUCCUUGUCAUUAUCCCAAACUUGACAGUUGCCCCUCAAUAUUUCAACAGUGGCCUCUUGUUGCCCCUAACAUAAUCCUCAAUCCUCAGCUGUCUCCUGCUCUGCCUUCAACAAGGGUGUGCUGGGUUUGGUAGCUCAUAUCUGUAAUCCCAAGAAAAGAGGAUAGCUGAGAAUUUAAGGAAAGCCCAGGGUACGUAGCAGCCUAUUUCAAAAUAAAAUGUUUUGGCAGUUGGCUAUUCACUGCAAUACUCUA